GAACGAACGCGUGGCGGCGCGCCUAAUACAUGCAAGUCGAGCGAGAAGACGUAGCAAUACGUUUGUAAAGCGGCGAACGGGUGAGGAAUACAUGGGUAACCUACCCUCGAGUGGGGAAUAACUAGCCGAAAGGUUAGCUAAUACCGCGUACGCUCCUUGGACUUCGGUUCAGGGAGGAAAGCGAUACCGUGGGUAUCGCGCUCUUGGAUGGGCUCAUGUCCUAUCAGCUUGUUGGUGAGGUAACGGCUCACCAAGGCUUCGACGGGUAGCUGGUCUGAGAGGACGAUCAGCCACACUGGCACUGCGACACGGGCCAGACUCCGUACGGGAGGCAGCAGUAAGGAAUAAUUGCGCAAUGGGCGAAAGCCCUGACGCAGCGACGCCGCGUGGGGGA
rnacentral:rRNA from 1 species